UUAAAAAGCUCGUAGUUGUACCUUGGGCCUGGCUGGCCGGUCCGCCUCACCGCGUGCACUGGUUCGGCCGGGCCUUUCCCUCUGGGGAACCUCAUGCCCUUCACUGGGUGUGAUGGGGAACCAGGACUUUUACUGUGAAAAAAUUAGAGUGUUCAAAGCAGGCCUAUGCUCGAAUACAUUAGCAUGGAAUAAUAGAAUAGGACGUGUGGUUCUAUUUUGUUGGUUUCUAGGACCGCCGUAAUGAUUAAUAGGGACAGUCGGGGG
rnacentral:rRNA from 1 species